UAGUGACGUAAAGCGGCCAUUUUGGUAUCGCGGGCUUACGAUAAGGUCUCCAGUACUCAUCUUCUUCACUAAACUAAAGUAUUGUCGUCAAAGUCUGUUUCUCAAGUUUUAAGAUGAAUUUCCGUCAGGAAUUUUCGUAAAGAAUUCAAUUCUUCUGUUUCAGUAUCCUGAUUUUACUUUAUGUUGCUGAGUGGAUGAUUGAUUCUUCUUGUUGUACACUCGGCCUCGAUCGUCUUGUCUUGCUUGUCAAGUCUGCCAACCAAGUCAGAAAAGUGUCACAGCUGUGCGCAUGUAGGUAGAGACAUAACAUUAAAAUACGCAGGGAUUCAAGAAAUUGCUCAAAUUGGGAUUAUAAUUGCAACAACUGUUAAAACGAUAUGUGAAAGCGUUAGUAUGUAUCAAACCGCUUAACAGACUGCAGAAAUUACCUCCGACAGGAUCAUCAGCUCUUUUACAUUGUCGUCAGUUGAUUGAACUGUUAACAGAGGGACUACACAGCGAAGAUUAAUGAGUUCUACUCUGUUUUCCAAAAUGGAUUCCAAGCCAUUCGUUCCUGAUGGUACGGAACCUCUACAUGACAGUCAAGAAAAGCUUUCUUCAUUGCCAGUUCCCAAAGCUACAAUAGAUGCCAUUGCAUAUAUUGACAAAAUAGAUGAAGAUGAAAUUGACAAUGUUCUUUUCACCGAUUCUUUGGUGACAACCUCUGACACAGGCAAGGAGUUAGGAGAGUUUACAGUGAGUAUUGAACGUGCCCGAUACAACAGUAAAGAUUGCUUCCUGAUUCAUGCCAAUAGCCAUGGUGCCAUUGAUAAUGUACCGAUGGGAACCUCUAUAACAGCAUAUGUAUCUAAGACACUAGAAACAUUAGAGCAACAGCAUCAUGAAUAUGUAAAGCUAGAAGAACAACAUCUUGACAAGAAGACAUUCAUUGUAAUGAACGAAGACAAAUAUAUUGUUAAUAGAAUAAUUACACAAGGAGAGCAAGUGUUUAGGCAUGUUGAGACUUACAGUUCAGAGACCAUGCAUGGAUUCAUCUCUGAAGGUUCAAAUUUGUUAGUACAAAGACUAAUGGUUAAGAAGGGCAUUCCAGAACAUUGUAAAUUCAUUUCAUUUGAUUCAGAGGCUAAGCUGUGUCAUGCAUCUUAUAGAAGCUUAGAGGAUCAUUCACAAAUGAUUGGAGAUACUGAAGUGACAGUAACAGGAAUUGAAAGAACCAUAAAAUCAUUGUCGGACCUUCCUACAACGUGGCAAACCUAUUUCCUACGUGAUGGGAGGAUGAGCAGUAGAGUUCAGAUUGGUUCUCCUGUCACAAUGCGACUUCUUCGUGUUCCUCCUCCACUAGAGAAGGAAGAGGUUCGAGAAAAACCUGCUGUUGCCAAGAAACCGUUGCAUUGGGAAGAUGAUAUGCAACUUUAUUCCAAAUUCCUUGACAGAAAGGAAGAAUUGAAGGGGGAUCAUGCCACAUAUAUGAGACACCACCCUGAGCUUAAGGCACUUCUUGCUGAUUUUCUCCAAUUUCUACUUCUCCGCAAACCCGAAAAUAUCGUAGCUUUUGCUUCUGACUACUUUUCCGCGUUCUCUCCAUCAACCAAAGAGGGCAAUCCUUAUGCCACAUCUGGUGAGGCCCGUUACAUUCCACGCCCGGAAUCUCCUUUCAAGCGCACAUCAUCAUCGGGAUUCCCCUCCUAGUUUACAAAAAGUAUAAACCAACAGAAAAAGAAAAGAAUAAAUACAAAAUUAUACCAAGUUUAUUUUGAUUAUAAUUACUUGAUCUGUUUUAUCUGUUCUUUUAGAGUGCAAUUAAUAUUUGAUUAAUUAAUAAUUAAUUGAACCACUCUAUAUAUAUAGACAUUUCUUGCAUGAUGAAUGUAUAAUGAUGUAGUGUUAUGUUCCUAUUGAAUAUCUUACUGUACAUGCUUUAGGUAAGAAACACAACUAUUUGCCUUCCAUGUUACAAUCUUGUGUCCUACCUUUACCUCAGAUUCAGAAUACAGCUUGCAUGAAAAUUGUAUUAAUAAGUCUUUCAGGCUUUGAAGAGGCUCAUGAUCUUCUUGUUAAUUUCUUUUGUUCAAGUCGCAUUUGUUUCACAGUUCUCUUAAGAAGUAUAUUUUUGUUGUUCAUAUUCCAAAUUCUCUGCUUCAGAAUUCAAGGAACAAGAAUUUGAAAACUGAAAAGAAAAUGUAAUUUUUAUAUGCAGCGUUUAUUUAGCCGGUAGUGUGCCUAUUCAUUUACAAAGCAUUUUUGUGAUGAUUAGUGAGGGGUGCACUCCAACCCUACCGUUAAGUAUAGGCAAAUUCAAGUUUUAGAUAGCAGAAUAAGCACUUUGUUUUUAUUAAGUAAUUUCUUCUUAUGGAAUAACGAUUGUGUCUUUCAUAGUAGUGAUUUUAUGGCAGUGAAAUUAGGAUAUUUCUUUGUAUUUCUAAGCAUUAGGGAUGUUUACAAAACAUGUACCUUCUAAGAAACGAGUUAUUUUGCAACUCCUGCUUAGCAACAGCCAAUUGUAGAGAAACAUAGGUUGAGUAGGCAAGCCCUGUUUAUUAAGCAUCUCUUUCUGAUUGGUCAGUUGUUCUCUUUAAUAGACCUAGGUUUAGAACCUGAAUUUCUUAAUAGUUGACUAUUCACAGGUCAAAAUAUUCACUUAAACCAUCCGUAGUGUUAACAAAUGUUAUAUUUGAUGCUGUUUUUCUUCAAAUUUAGUUUUUCAUCUAGGCUUAUAUUCUAACUUUAUGGUAAUAUUAUGGUAUCAACACUUUUUAAAGCAAAAUAGAGUUUGUCUUAUGUAUCGAAUGAUAUGGGAAUAUCGACAAUUUGGUAUCCGGUGCAAAAAAACUUGUUUUGUGAUGUGAUGUAAAGUGUUCUGAAGAAAUGUUAUAGUGUUGCCAAAAAUAAGUUAAUUAUAAGUACACAAAUAUUUUAUAUAUAUAUUUAUAAACAAAUAGUUGAUUGUACUGAUGGAAACACCGUGCUGAAAUACAGAAACAAAUGAUGUUAUGUUAAGCCAGGCAUUCACUGCACACGACGGUCUAGGCCGGCGCGAUUCUGUGAAGAACGCAACGCGAUGACGCGUGUGCAACGGAUCAUUUUUAAUGACGAUCCGUUCAGAUUGCUGCCAACAUCAGCCGUGCGACGGUCGUACAAUGCAGGAAGUGCCUGGCAUACGUGUUGAGCAUAGCUCUUCAACUAAAAGUUCUUAUCAGUUGUGUGAAAAAGUGCUUCCAGCAGGUACUGUAAAUGGACCUGCGAAUUUUGCUUUUGAAUUUAGUGUCAUACUGUACCAUUAGACCACAAAGGCCUGUUGGUGUAUCGGAUCCAAUACAGGCAGAUUAUCCCCAUACACAACUGAUAUACGAUUCACUUAAUUGAGCCAAAAUUUUAGACCUCUACUGAUGGCAUAGAUUUAAAAUGUAUAACCUAUUACUCUGACGGCUAAAUGUUCUCAUAGUUAAAUAUAUUAAAUUAUAUUAUAUUAUAUUAAUGCAAGUUUGCAAGUCCUUUAACUUUCAUGUAAGUUGUGACUCACAGGACCAAAUUCAGAAAACAUCUUUUCAGCCUACAAGCAAGAGGAUAAAAUGGCAAGAGGGUCAACUCUUGGGUUUCCUUUGAAACUAAAUCCUAUCUCGAAAAUUACAACUACGACUUGGAGGGCAAUCUUCAAAAGAGAUGAUAUAACGUAAAAGUCGUUCGUAUCGUAUGGGCGCCUCCUAUCUUGUGGUAGUGCUGCAUUUUUUGUUCCAUUGCUUCCAUGCAAAAUUUGGACAGUGGCAUCUCUUGCCAUUUGAUACUGUUUGCUACAAGUAGCUCAGCAAUUAAAUUGAACCAAAAACCCUAAUACUGUAUAUUCAUGGUCCAAUACAUACACAAUGGCUACCACCGGUUAAGCAGACUAACGUAGACUGAUCCAGAAUACUGUAGUUCUAGUUUUUUUAACCCUUGUACUAUUUAGUGAUUAUUAAAAUUUUAGAUGCCAUUUAAUGUAUUAUUAUUUAACAUUAUAAAGUCAAUUUUGUAUUUAUUUAUUUAUGAUGCUAUGAUAAUACAAUACAUUUGAGUCCCAAUAAAAAGUUUUGUAAAAAGUUACAUGAUAUACUGUAAUUAGAUUGGGAGAUGUGAACAAAAUUGCAAAUGCAUUAUCUUAUUUUUCUAUUUUCUCCCUCAUACUGUGCUUUCAAUUCAAAAUUUAAAUGUAUUGCCCAAAUUUAAAGAAUAAAUUAUUAUGGAAAUGAAAAUUGUCUCAAUAUGUAUUUAAAAUGUAUGGGAGAAUUUUUCGUAUUCUCAUAGACCCUAGUGUUUUCUUGUACAGAUCUACGAAUCAACUGUGUACAUACGUGUAUAGACAAGCACUUGCAUUUUACAUUAGUAGUUUUGUAGUUGCAUAAAUUGAUGAAUUUGUUGUAAAUAAAUAUGCUAUCUUAUUUAUUUUUUUGUAUGAUUAUCACACAGAGCUAUAAUAAAUGUGGAAGAAUGGAAGAUAGGUUAAGAUAGAAAUCUUACACUUUUUUAGACAAAUGUUGUUUUGUUGACCGGAAUAUCAACAUAUUUGUGAGGUGUUGUCGAAGAAAGCAUUAUUGAUGAAGAUCACAUAUAUUUCGUCUUUGAUUUAAUCAGUUGUUCCUAGGUUGAUUAUGAGUAAAAUAGUUUGUAAAUUCAUAUGUCUAAAAUUAUAUGUCUAUUUUAUGAAUGCUUUAAACCAACUAACUGCCUUCAUUACCGAAAUGAAUCACCCCUUUGAAACAAAUACAACAGUCCAUCCCAGUGUAAAAGGUGCUUUUAAUUCAAUCAAUGUUGAAUAGGGAAUGAGGACUUGUUUGAACUGCCUUCAUUACCGAAAUGAAUCACCCCUUUGAAACAAAUACAACAGUCCAUCCCAGUGUAAAAGGUGCUUUUAAUUCAAUCAAUGUUGAAUAGGGAAUGAGGACUUGUUUGGGAGACGGUUCGUACAUGAUGUGUUUGGACAGACUGUUCUAUUUUGUUUCAAAGGGUUGUUACAUUUUAAAAACAAUAGCAAUUAUUUGAUUUAUUCAGGUAAAAAUCUCACUCGUAGAGUACCAACAUCACGGUUGAUUUGUGUAUAUAAUAAGAAAGUUACAACUAACUUGCUUUGCUAUUGUGAAAUCCCAGAGAAACUAAUUUGUCAAAACAUACAGUCAUAUUUUCUUGAAUGUGUUAUAAUGACCUAGCAUACGAUACUACUCAUUUUGUCACAAUACCUCACAUUUUGUCUACAGUUUGUUAACAAGUAUUGUAGGGAUGCUCUCAGUUGCACUCUGAAACAUAAGUAAUAAUAAUUAUGUCAAAUUCAUAUAAUAGCGGAAGAUGCACAAAAUAUUUUCAAGGCUUUGUCUUGAUGCAAAAGAUUCAUAGCUAAUGUGGGUAGAAGUUCAUUCCGAAUCUUUGGAGCAAUGGUAAAAAAUGGUAACCUCUCAAAUCCCACUGAUUGAGCAUUUAUGUUAAUAAUUAUAGUGUAGUUUUAUAUAGCGCACAAAUCCAUCUAAUGUAAGAUGCUCAGGACGCUUGAAAUGUGGACUAGGAACUCGAUCAAUGUUCUAUAAUACCUGAUUCAUGUCAUAUGUUCUGUAGAUUGGAUUUGGAGGAAUAAUACAGUAUAUGAAUUUGUAUCCAAAACAACAGAGAAAAAAGUGUUACACAUCCCAUGCUACAGAUAUUUUACAUUGCAUCCAUUAUGUAAGAUUGGUAGGCAUCCUGUGUAAUAUUCUUGUAAGAAAAACAUGUAUACAUUACAGAGGCAGAGCCGUAGAUAGAGAGAGUUUGGCCAACUUGGCACAUGGACGCCGUGUCGUUGCCAAACAGCCCAAGCGCAUGCGCGCGUAUAACUUUAAUGUUUUGUUUUGGUGACAACAUGGCCGAUGUAAGUCAUGUGAUUGCGAUCCACCCAAUCACACGCGUGUAUAUCGAAUCCCGUGAAACAGAGUUGGCCAAACUCUCUCUAUCUACGGCUCUGUACAGAGGCCUGUAACACCGCCAAGGUAUCUCGUACAGAAUGUAUCUGUACGCAUGCUCACAGGAUGCAACUUAUCUUUUAUGUUGCAUCACUUACAUCUGUAUUGCCAGUGUGUAAACUGUACCAUGUUUAGCAAGGUUUACAUUGAUGUUGUUAAGAUGAUGGUAAUUUGGGUAGAAAUACCCUGAGAGGUCCUUGUAAAAUUUAGCAAAUAAUUAAAUCUCUUUUUUUUUCUUUUGUGAAAAGGGGGUGUAUGAUUGUCAUGAUGUCAAAUAUAUUCAUAGUUGGCAGUUAACAUGUUUCAUAAAUUGUUCUUGACUAGGUGAUACUGUAUAGCCUAAUUUCUAAACAAAAGUUUAUAUUAAAAUUGUUAAUUGUUUAGAUUUUUUGUCAGCAUCAAACUAACGCAGCCUACCUGUUACUGUAAUGCUCUCGAAAGCUUGUUUAGCUAUUUUAAAUCUGUAUGAAAUUUGUACGCUUACUUAAAACAAAAAGCAUUAUUAAAUAUAAAUAACAAAACUA
rnacentral:misc_RNA from 1 species